GCGGGCACCUGUGCCAAGGGAACCGGAUUCGGAACCAACCGAUGGACUGGGUCUCCGGGUGUUGUAUUCUUUCCUCAUCUGCUUUGGGCCGGGAGGUAGGCGGACCUAUGAUUACCUGUUUUGACCGGUCUUUGGAGAUGCUUCUGGCCAAGGGCGGGAAGGACCUUGACCUGCUUCGACUUCUCGCUCCAGGCCCGUGUGUGGCUGAACUGGACCGGCUUCUUGAGGCAGGAACAACCUUGGGUAGAGGUCCUUCACGGUCACUCUUCCGUAAGUGCAUGGCAUUCCCACUCACCUCCUCUCCCUUCGCAGUGGUUUCAUUCAUAUUGCAUUGAAUGUGAAUAUGUGUAGAGUGAAACAAAAUAAAUGGAUUGAUUCAGCAGUGUGGGGAGAUGACUCAACAAGCUCAGUUUUUGCCAGCAUGGUCGUGGCAUGGCCAAUGGUCACUACAAAAGUUUGCGGUUUGUGUCUUGGAUCACCACCUCUCGAUUUUGAGAUGUCACUUUCAGCAUGAAGCCAUUGCUGCGUUAGUGGGCACCAUUAAGUGCUCGCAUUAACAACAAUUCAAUUAUAGUCUAGGCUCGUUACAACGGACCCGCGUACAACAGACUUUCGGAUAUAACGGACCAUAUUUCAGCCUUAGUUUGUUCUACCUAUUUUAUUAAUGCAACGAAGUUUGCUUUUAACGGACCGUGCUACAACAGACUACUGGCUACAGCGGAUGAAAUUAGCGGCAAUUUUUUUUCAAAAUCGGGCGUAUAAAACAUACUUUUGCCGUGUCGACAUGGGCUGACAACUGACUUGCGAGGGUUGGCUGAUGAUCGCGGUUCCAUAUCGAGCAUGCCAGGGAGGAAGGCGGGGUGGGAACACGCCACCUUCGAGGCGAGAGAGAGGGUUCUACUCCGGCGGCUGCUGCUUACGGCGUGGCAGCCAUAUCUUGAAAGCGAUCUGCAAUGUGGAGGAAGUGCUUGCCCACGCGGGCCCCGUAUCUUGAAAGCGAUCUGUGAUGUGGACGAAGUGUGCCCAGUGUCGGUAGCUUCGUAUGUGCUGUGCUUUUGACGUUUAGUUCGCGUUCAAGCGAGAGACAGCGCGAAGGUCAAUUCGCUCGCUGCUGCUGUUGCGCUUAUCUUGCUUAAUUUGCUAUCACAACCGAUGCUUUGCCUUUCAAGCAAAACUGCGACUUCUUUUUUUCUUUUUUUCACUCUUCGCAACAGAGUUGUUAGACAUCACGACGAAAGUUUCAGAAGUGAGGCGUUUCGGAUAUUAAGGACUUCGGAUAAAACAGACGUCUUUUGUCGGAUUGUCAAGGUCCGUGGUAACGAAAGUCGAUUGUAUUUCUUGCAGGCCCGAUGUGUAUGCGACUUCAUCUGACUCUGGGCUGUGAAGUGAGCAGUAUUAAUGUAUACUGCCUGCGUUGCAUUGCAUUCAUUCAGAAUUGAAGUUAGUUUCUUCAAAAGGGAACAGUACAAAGUGCUUAUAUGCUUCAGCCCAUUGUAAGGAUGCUAGCGUUAACGAUGUGAGGCGUGGGGUGCAUCCUAAAAGUUGAGCUCAUAUGAAGGCUGUAAGGUUUCACCGUAAAGGUGAGUUACUACUGCCCCAAGCAAACUCAGUAUUAUGCAAAUCCAAGUAGUGUCAAAUCAGAAAAUGUAAACUAAGCAGCAUUUUCUUAGCUACACUAGGAUACACACAUUGUUAGGUGUACCUACAACUGCAACUUACUUCAAGCAACUUGCCUAGUGAAAAGACUAGUUACAUCACAGAGCACAUGCAGUUAAAAAGUUGAGGCAGUGCUAAUGACAGAGGUGGAACAGACUGCUCAGAGAGACAUGACUAUAUUGGAAGAAGGCUGCAGUGGCUAAACUACAUUUCAUGUCACGUGCAGUUUAGCUUGUAUGUUUAGUCAAGCUUUAGAUAAAAAAAAUUGAGCACACAGAACAGACAUUCAAGCAGGAAAAAAGAAAGAUGAAAGGAGACAUCUGUGUGGUUUAAACUCUGGAUCUGAGUGGUUCCAGAGUGGAUCCAUGCUCUAGAUCUGAGUGUAGCGCUUGCAGCUUUUUAAAAAGAUGCUAAAAAAAAAAUGUUGAAGAGGACCUUGACACAUAUAUCAAAAGCAAUUCAAUAGUAUCAAAGUACACCUAGCUGCAAUAAAAAUUUUGAAUGGGAAAAUUUACUGCUGACUGAAAUACUAAUGCCAACCAUUUUCAUGAAUGAAACAAAAAUGACAGUGUCCUUAUAGUAUUGCCCGACUUGCAACAGUGGAUAGUAAAACGGCCAAGCAUUACAAUAUUACAUGGUUGCCGAGCGGCAGGUAGUACUUAAGCACCACUUUUCCUAUACUGUAUAUAUAUAUAUCUCUUGAAAGCUGCAUAGCAUCAAUUUUGAAACACAAAAGCACGGCAGAAAGCCUACAAUAGCCAGGGGUCAGACAUCAACAAACAAAAGCCUUAUAUAGCAAAGGGAAAAUGAGACAUUCACCCAAACAUAGCAAAUUGCUACAAAGGAAACCCAUAUGGGUUCCUUGAAAGAAAAAGCCUCGCAGCUGAAGAAGAAUUCGUUUUGGUCUGGGACUCAAACCUGGGUUCAUUGCCUUUCCAUGGCAGGGCGAAGUCGAAUUUGUCAACAACUCGAAGCAAAGGCAAGACUUUGACGCAAUAGCUCUGCGGAAACCCGCAAGGUGGAGAGAACUAAUUAAUAAAGAGAAAAUCAGACAUCCACCCGUUCGUAGCAAUAGCUACAAAGGAAGCCCACACGGGACCCUCGAAAGAAAAGCCUCGCAGUUGAAGAAAAAUUUCUCCUGGUCCUGGACUUGAACCUGGGACCACCGCCUUUCUGGGGCAGCUGUUCCACGAUCUGAGCUAACCAGACAGCAGCAGAUGGCAGGGUGAAUUAAUUAUUAAAUUAUUAAUUACUUCUCUCCAACUUCCGGCUUUCCACAGAACUAUUACGUCAAAAGCCUUAUAUAUUUCAUUCUUAA